UGUCAAGGGAUGGGAAUCGAACCCACGACCUCCGCUUAACGGGCAGAUGCCAUGACCACUAGGCUACCCUGGAC
rnacentral:tRNA from 1 species